GAACUAGCAAAAGCCAUUAGCAAUUAUAUAACAUUUGCGAAAAAGGCAAUUUGCAUUGGAUGAAUGAAAGGGUGAUGAUGAAUUGAGGCACGUUUUUCUCGCAGUCGUUUCUCUGAGCUUCUAUUCGAAGUGCAGAAUGGUUCGACGAGUCAGCAGUUUUUUUUCUACCGUCGCUGCAACCGCGUUUUCACAAUAAAUUGCGAAAUAAUAAAACAAUGGAAAAAUGCACGAAAAAGGGCCAGUCGAAUAUCCAAUGGAAAAAUACCAAGAGUUUGAUUUUGUUUUAUGAAUUGUAUGAUGGUUCACAACCGAAUUGCAACGCCCAUGAAUUCAGAUGCAAAAAAGAGACAAAUAAAACGUCAACAGUACGUUUACGGUCACACGAAUCAGAAACAGCAAAUAGUUCUCGUAUGACGAGAGUGCUACACUGAUAAUCCGUGAAUUAAAAAUAAACCGAAAUCACUCCAUUUCGUUUGUACGCACCAAAUGAAUGACGAUAAUACAGAAAUGAAAACAAUUGAUUGGUUUCUUUUCAAAAGCACUGUUUAUAGAUUUAACGAAAGAUAGAGUAUCAAUCAUCCAAAGAGAGUUAUCAUUGCGUAAAACAUGCGCCGACGACAUUGCAAAAAGAUCUUGAGAAAAAUUUCCAAACUGGCGAUUAUCAUGUGUGCAAAUACGAUAUACCAAAUAUUGUUUCAUCGUAAAUUUUAUUUAGCACAAACACACACCAUCACACCCAUGAUCGCGUUGUGUAGCGACAAAAACAUGAUGGUUUCUCGCAAUUCAGAGCGUUCAUUUGCUUGUAUAAGUUCAAAGUCUACGUUCAUUUGAAAUGGCAAAUAUUUUGUGUUUCGAUUCUUUUCGUCGGUUGGCUGAUCAUCACAUCGACUCACGACGUCUGAAAAUAUACAUAUAUAUUCAAGUCGAUGAAUUGCAGUAUCGAUCGGAACGUUCACAUUUGUGUUCGUGUGUCACCUCUUGGCAAUCGUUCGACGUGACGAGAUCGACCAAUGAGAAAGCGCUAAAAACGGGGGCUUGUUCAUGGUAUUGGUCGGUAAUUUCAAUUAAUUGAAUGCAAUUAAAUUGUGUUGAUUUUUUUCUCGUCGUUUUCUUGCUUGACGACUAACGUCCGAUAGAAAGAUAGAAUCUGAAAAAGAAAAACGCCAGCGGAUAUCUGAUGAUCGACGGUGUUCGUGCCUUAAACAAUUGGACACAGCAUGCAUCAACUAUAGUUAAAAAUAAAUAUUUUCUAGGCUUGCAACUGGUUUUUCGUAAACUAGAAUCGACAAAAAGCAGAAAUUUGCAUCUUGUCUACCAAUCUUGUUGUAAUAAAAAUUUAAACCCCGCGCACAUUUCCGAUGAUUUAUCGACACCGAAUUCGAGAUAUCAUUUGUCGCAAACUCUAUCGUCGUCUGCAAACGAUAUGGAGACUUACCCUCGCACCUUCUCUCUCUCUCUCUCUCUCUCUCUCUCUCGGUUGAAUGGAUAUUCUUUUAUUUCUUUUGCUAACGAUGCUUUUCUACUGACUUAAUGGUCAUAAUCGCCUGAGAUUGAUGAUCUUAUCCUAUGCAUUUUUAUUUAACUACCUUUCAACUGAAAAUCGACCAAUUGUUUGAUUUGAUGAUGAAAGCAAGGCGUCUGAUUAUUUCAUCGCUCUUUUUUCAAGCAACGAUAAGAUUAUUCAAUUGGGUUUUUUUUAAGUAAAUUCCCUUGUUCCCUCUCCAUUUCCUAUUUCGACCGUCAUUUUUUUCCUGUACACGGUAUUUUUCCACUGCGAUAUCCAUGUGAUCAUACGUUGCCAUUGAAAACGGGAACAUCUGUUCGCUGAUUAAUUCACGAAACACGCGUCUCAAUUCCAAAUUAUGGCUGCUGGAUUCAAGCUUCCUGAUUUCAAAGCAAAAAUAAACUGUCGAAGUCACACAAGCGUCCGAUUGGGCUUUAAUCCGGUCACAAACUAAACAAGCGCUCACCCGUUCCACACGAAUCGUUCAACUCAAACUUUUUUGUAUGAUACGCUUCAUAAAUGUCAACAAUUCGAACUUUCUCGAAGCGUAGUCUUACGUGAUGAUGUUCUAAAACACCGAGAUUCUCUUUUCUUAUAAAUACAAACAAACAAGACAAUAUGCAUAUGUUCCACAAGUAUAACUGUAGUAACACAGCGAUCAAUCGAGCGGCAGAUGAGAAAAAUUGAUUUCAAUUUGCUUCAAAAUUAUAUAACGAUUGGGAAGAAUAGAACAAAUCGUUCAAUUUGAUAGAGAACAGAACAAUAAAAGAAACUAAACGGCAUGGCCGGCUGAUUAAAAAUCUCGGUGUUCUUGUAAUAAUAUUUGGUUUGGAAGAUAUGUCCAGAAUUUUAACGGUUAUUAAACUCUUUUAAGCUUCAUUAGAAUUUCGACUUCAUUGUUUGCAUGUAUAUAGGUUUGUUGACCCAUAUUUACACAGCAGCACAGUAAACAUUGAAAAGGAUUUGCAAAUUUUUAUUGGAAGUUUGUGUUUUCAAAAUAAAAACAUUGGGUAAACCAAAAACAAAAAA